rnacentral:rRNA from 1 species
GUGUGGCCCAGGAACAAGUCCUAGGGCCGCAAUGUGCGUUCGAAAUGUCGAUGUUCACGUGUCCUGCAGUUCACAUGGCAACGCGCAAUUAGCUGCGUUCUUCAUCGAUCCACGAGCCGAGUGAU